rnacentral:rRNA from 1 species
UCUAGAGAUUAGAGUUUGAUCCUGGCUCAGGACGAACGCUGGCGGCAUGCCUAAUACAUGCAAGUCGAACGAGCUUCCGUUGAUUGACGUGCUUGCACUGAUUUCAACAAUGAAGCGAGUGGCGAACUGGUGAGUAACACGUGGGUAACUUGCCCAGAAGCAGGGGAUAACACUUGGAAACAGGUGCUAAUACCGUAUAACAACAAAAACCGCAUGGUUUUUGUUUGAAAGGUGGUUUCGGCUAUCACUUCUGGAUGGACCCGCGGCGUAUUAGUUAGUUGGUGAGGUAAAGGCUCACCAAGACAAUGAUACGUAGCCGACCUGAGAGGGUAAUCGGCCACAUUGGGACUGAGACACGGCCCAAACUCCUACGGGAGGCAGCAGUAGGGAAUCUUCCACAAUGGACGAAAGUCUGAUGGAGCAAUGCCGCGUGAGUGAAGAAGGGUUUCGGCUCGUAAAACUCUGUUGUUAAGGAAGAACACUUCUGAGAGUAACUGUUCAGAAGUUGACGGUAUUUAACAGAAAGCCACGGCUAACUACGUGCCAGCAGCCGCGGUAAUACGUAGGUGGCAAGCGUUGUCCGGAUUUAUUGGGCGUAAAGCGAGCGCAGGCGGUUUCUUAAGUCUGAUGUGAAAGCCUUCGGCUUAACCGGAGAAGUGCAUCGGAAACUGGGAGACUUGAGUGCAGAAGAGGACAGUGGAACUCCAUGUGUAGCGGUGGAAUGCGUAGAUAUAUGGAAGAACACCAGUGGCGAAGGCGGCUGUCUAGUCUGUAACUGACGCUGAGGCUCGAAAGCAUGGGUAGCAAACAGGAUUAGAUACCCUGGUAGUCCAUGCCGUAAACGAUGAGUGCUAGGUGUUGGAGGGUUUCCGCCCUUCAGUGCCGCAGCUAACGCAUUAAGCACUCCGCCUGGGGAGUACGACCGCAAGGUUGAAACUCAAAGGAAUUGACGGGGGCCCGCACAAGCGGUGGAGCAUGUGGUUUAAUUCGAAGCUACGCGAAGAACCUUACCAGGUCUUGACAUCUUCUGCCAAUCUUAGAGAUAAGACGUUCCCUUCGGGGACAGAAUGACAGGUGGUGCAUGGUUGUCGUCAGCUCGUGUCGUGAG